GACGAACGCUGGCGGCGUGCCUAAUACAUGCAAGUAGAACGCUGAAGGAAGGAGCUUGCUCUUUCUGGAUGAGUUGCGAACGGGUGAGUAACGCGUAGGUAACCUGCCUGGUAGCGGGGGAUAACUAUUGGAAACGAUAGCUAAUACCGCAUAAAAUUGAUUAUUGCAUGAUAGUCAAUUAAAAGGUGCAACUGCACCACUACCAGAUGGACCUGCGUUGUAUUAGCUAGUGGGUGGGGUAACGGCUCACCAAGGCGACGAUACAUAGCCGACCUGGGAGGGGGUUCGGCCACACUGGGACUGGGACACGGCCCAGACGCCUACUGGAGGCAGCCGUAGGGAAUCUUCGGCAAUGGCCGGAAGUCUGACCGGGCAACGCCGCGUGAGUGGAGAAGGUUUUCGGAUCGUAAAGCUCUGUUGUAAGGGAAGAAAGAGUGUGAGAGUGGAAAGUUCACACUGUGACGGUAUCUUACCAGAAAGGGACGGCUAACUACGUG
rnacentral:rRNA from 1 species